CCCUGCCUUUUGUACACACCGCCCGUCGCUACUACCGAUUGAAUGGCUCAGUGAGGCCUUGGGAUUGGCCAGGGGAGAUGGGCGACCAUCACCCCAGGCCGAAAACUUGGUCAAACUUGGUCAUUUAG
rnacentral:rRNA from 1 species